UCUACCUAGCGUUAUCCCGGCCUUUGCCAGGGUCCGCUUUCCUACUUGCUUUCCUCCACUUUGCGCGAUCCUGGGCAUCAUCUCGUGUGAGCCCGUUCACGCUCAUAUCUGCUUUCACGACAUCGAGCCAUCGCUUUUUUGGUCUGCCUUGGAGUCGGGGGCCGUCAAGGGCUAGGUUAAGACAAUAUGAUUACUACAUGUUAAAAAAUGUAAUCUUACAGCUCGUAAGUUGCGUUGAGGAAUACUAAAGUUAGAGACAAAAUAAUAUUCAAGUUCUUGAACUUCGUCAAAACGAAUUAUACUUUCAACAUGGAGGAUGGAGGUACUAUAGGCAGUUAGGCAAUUUUUUGGUCAUGUCGCGUUACAUGAUUAUACAUUAUACUACAGAAUAGUUCACAGAAGAGAUUGGUUUUACAAGUUUACUGUAACUAUAAAUUACAACGCUACCUAAUCCUGCUACUGUAUAGUGCUAAAAGAAACAGCACAUACAUGAUAUACCUACUACAUAUGUUAUUGUUUUUGUCUAUUUUCAACCACAGAACGUUACGUACGAUCAAUGAUCAUACAUUUACUUUUGCAAGUAAUCAUCAAUCAUAAUGAAAAACAAAAUAAAUCAUCACAAUUUUGAAGAACACACCAACUGGGAAAUUGUUAAUUACAACUUACAAGUAUGUCACCGGAAACAAAAUACCAGUGUUGUAAUAUAGUGUGACGAGAGUCCGAGAAUAUUAAAAAAUAUGAAGGCGACAGUCAAUUAGAGUUGAAACAGGUGGGUCGGGCCGUGCCAAGUCACUGGCCCAAUAUUACAGGGUUCUAUGUUACAUUUUUAAGACAGUUGAAAUUCGACUUAAUGUCACUAUGACAAUGUUCAAAUUUCAGUUCGAUAAAAGUGAAACAUAGAACCCUGUAAUAUUGGGCCAGCGAAGUCUCGGCCACUUUAACUACUAGUGAGUAAACAUGCUUUGUUGGGGCUAUCCGGGAUUAAAAAGAGUUGAGACUGAUGAUGAUGGGCAUUAAAAAUCGAGGCUAAUUGGUUAAAUAGGUGGAAUGGCGCUUGAGAAAGAGCAAUCGCUAGUUUGAUGCUUUAUAAUAGUACGGGAGCGUGUAAACAAAUAUGGAGUACUACACAGUUAUAGGACAAUGUCUUUAUCAUUUUCAUCAUUAUCAUAAAUUAUACAUUUUUUCUACAGCCUGUUAUUCCCCAAGCUGUGCUUAACUUAGGGUGGUAUUCCACUUAUCCAAUUCUUUUGUCCAAUAGGUAUUGUGUCGCACAUUUUGCUUUAAUGAGAGAGUGAGAUGCACUGGCAUUGGACAAAGAAAUUGGAAAGGUGGUAUACCAGCCUUGCGCACAUUUUCGAGUACAUAGAUACUUGACGUGAUCCGUACAGAUAAAGAGUAAGGAGAAAUUAGUCAUGAUUUUGGGGUUUUUAAGUACGUAUGUAGGGCUCCAAACUUUGGCUUUCUGUGGUAGAAUCGGGUCGGUGGUAUCCUUGUUGUUAACUAUCGAUAACAGAGAAAAUGUACAUUACAGUAUAGGUCAGGAUACGCCAGAAAAAAAUGCUACAAAUUUACUAUGUAUUCAUUGCCAACCGUCUUAAAGUAGUCCAACAUCAAUUGAGUUCCAUGGACGCUUCGCUGCACUAAAUUCCACAAUUGAGUCACAAGAAUCAAACGUGUCAUCUAUAUUGCAGCGUAAUAACAUCACACAAUCCACUAUAUUCGAGAUAUGAGGCACGCUUUAGAAGCUCCGAGACUAAUUUUCCAUGAAAUAUGUUCUUGAUGAAUGCGAGACGAGUCAAUGUCAUGUCUCCAUUUUACUGUCAGAACCGUGCCAGGGCUAUCAUUGCUCUUGCUUGUUCAAAAUUACCAGUAUACUCGUAAUUGGAUCUUUAGUGUGGCAUAGAAAUGUAAUGGUCUUGGAGCUCACGCGCAAAUUGGUUCACUGGAUGCAAGUGAUUGUUCAAUGGGGGCUAUAAUAUCCCAGAUGUCAUUCGUUACGCUUCUCAUAGCACAAGAUUAGUGGGUACAGGAUAUAGUUUUCGCCCCAUUUGAUGAAGUAUAAGUAGUCUGCUACUUAAACUUAUAUAAACUACUUAUGUCAUUUUUAGUGUACCGCACAAAACUUUGUUCGGGGUACACUUAUUGAGUUAUGUACAUUACGUAUUAUGUCUUAUUUUGGCACGCUCUGCAUCCAAAACGGUUUGAUAAUAUUUAUGUUGAAUUCGUCUCAGUUGUAGGAACAUAAUAUUUACAGAAUGGCACAAAAAUACGUAGUAAUUUUUUUACUACGGUAUAUUGUUAAAAAUUCGUUGGAAGUAUUUAAACAGGAUAUUUGCAUAUUUAUUAUAGUUUCCUAGUAUUGUUGUGAUAGAAGUUCUAUUCUCGUAAGAAACUGAUUGUGAAAAUGUAAGGGAUUUGUAGAAUUAACGUUGAAAGCGUUUGUUAGCGCAUACCAGUGUCAUGUUUACGUGUAUUAGUGGGCUCUUUAUUGGCUAUUUUAGUGAAUUUAGUUAUUGACGAUAAAACAGAAGCCAUAAAAUGCUGUUUAAUAUGUUGCGGCCUUAUGCUACACACAGUUUCAUAACAUUCAUGACAGGAGGGUCAUAUAUCAAUUUUAGAUGUUAAUUCAUCCCAGGGUGACCCAAAAGACGGUGGCAAAGAUUUUUAGAUAAAUUUUUCUUACAAAUCUUUACAAAAUGUAGUUAAAAAUGAAAACUACAAUAAUAUAACUAAAACAAAAUGUAUUAUUAAGCGUGAUAUAUAAGCGCAAGCGCAGUAAAAAAAAUAUCAACGUAUUUUUGGACCACUCUGUUUCAAUUAGCUUUCGGGAGCAGUAAACACAUUUUUUUACAAUACAAUAGAUAUACAAAUCGUCAAAGCCGUAAGUGUUACAAAUCGAAGUGUUAGAGAUCCGUCUACUGAGCCAAAACCUCAGGGCAUUAUCGCAUUUUUAACAAAAACAUAACAUACCGCCAGAGUGUGAAAGUCAUCUUUCAGCACAUGUAAAAUCAAUGUUAACAUGGUUGGCACACCGAUGAUCUAUUUCUGAGUUGUUGUUCACAAACUUUGCCGACCAUUAUAGACGGACCAGUGAAGUCUAACUCUUACAGUGAAGUUGACUGAGUGAAUGUCUCUUAGUACAGGACAUCCCGAGAUCCCGACCCAGCUUUUAAGGAGAUCGUGACGUUUGUAAACCCUACCUACUCAAUGGACAUAUGCUAUUAGUAGGUAGAGUUAGACCAAUAAAAGUCUGCACCGAUUUUGAUACACGCAGUGCCAGUGUUAAUAUAAACGUCGAAUUUCUAUGAAAUUAUGACGUAUAAAUAACACUUGCACUGCGUGGGCUAUCAAAAUCACUGCAGACUUUUCUUGGUCUAACUCUAAUGGCCUUCCAUGCAGUCUCAUUGCGGAAUAUUAGGUCUACGGUGCUCACAACCUUUUGUAAAAGAUGAGAUGUACUCAUGAAUGAAAGUAAACGCUGUAGUUACAGCUACUAUACUUUAUUAGCUAACAACCCUAGAGAAGAAAGGAACCAAAUCAAGAAUCAGUGGUCAGAAACGAGGUUGGCUUCAGCGAUUAUUAGAGUCCUCCUUGUGGCUACGUGACCACGAAGGUUGGCAAUGUUCUGUAUCAACUCUGAAGUAUCAAGAGCCCAUAAUUGGGCCUUUUCAGAAAUAAAUAUUGAAAACCUGAUUCUUUCACAUCUGGACGUUCUUGGGUUCAUUCUACUCAGAAUCGACAGCAUUCUCCAUCCCACCAUUAAAAAAAGAUGUCCCAAAAAUGUCCAAUAGGUUCAUGCAGGUGGGCUGCAGUUGUUUAAGCUCAGGAUCAAACUAUACUGGAACAAUCUGGCAUUCAGGACAAUGUUUUGUGAACUCUGCGCGGAAGCAGCGACCUUGCGCGUGUCGGUGUCGUGAUAAAUAUAUGAAAUUUCGGUGUUAUAAUGGGGGAUGCUGUCACAUCGGCGUGAUAGGAUAAAUUAUACGCAGGUGCUGUGGCCUAUUUUAUAAAGCUACAAGUGACAAUUUACAAGCGGAAGUCUCUUUCUAACCUAACUCUUUCUAACACUAAUGUUUUCAUUAUUACAAAGUUAUCAAUAAUGUAGAGUCAUAUCACCUUUCAUUUUGCACUUUGUAAGUGACACAGAUGACGUAGGUAAUGUCAGCUUGACAGGUGAAGCUGUCACUUUACCAAACUUUAGCAUGAUAGGAUGGAUUAUGUAUUAGUGUUGAUCUGUUGAUGUUUUCACUACGACAAUGUUUGCAAUGUUGCAGUGGCGUAUCACCAAUUAUCUGUGCACUUACAAUUAGUAUUAUGAUGUUAUGCGAACAUCACCUUAGCAUCUAUGAUAGGAUGAAUUAUACGCAGGUGUUAAUGCUUCAUUUGUUACAAUGGUAAUAAUGUGGAUGUGGCUUGACCACUAUUUCUCUUGCGAACUAUCAAUUUCCCCGUAGGUAAGUAAUGUUAUGAGGCUACCAAAUUAGUAUGAUAGGACGAAUUUACAUGAAGCGUUGCAAUACUCGUAUAACCACAUCACGUCAUAUGCAAGGAGUGUUUACGUCUUAAGUAUUUUCGCGUGAAGUAGAUUAUUCUUUUAUAAUUAAGUUUUCAUUAUAAUAUUAUAAAUGUAAACCGACGUCUAGAAUUUAACUACUAGAAUUAUAAAUAGCUUAAGAACUCAUAUCUUUUAGUGGGUGUAACUCGACUCGACAUGUACAAAUGUAUGAUAGCCUGAAAUAUAACGAGGAUACAGAUCUAAGAUCAAAAGCUAAUAUUAUUCGGACAGUUAGUCUGUUUACUUUCAGCUCAUUCAUGAAAUAAUAACAUUUAUUUCAGAUGAAACAAGGGUGCUUUUCGCAUAAAAUACUAGUCGGUUGCUAAUUUUUGAAAGUAGAUAUUCUGAAUGCACUGACUCACGGAAUAUCAUGAUUUAUUCUUAGUCGUUUAUAUUCGGGCGUUGUAUUAAUUUUACUCAAGAUACCGAGCUUACAUUAAAAUUAGAGAUGUAACGUGAUUUAUCGAUACCGAUACCUAUUGUACAAUAAUAUUAGACAAUUAUCAGGGAUACAAUUUUAUUGUGUAAUAGGCAGCUGGGUACGUUUUCACAAGGUUUUAUUUAACUUGUCGUGGUGGUAAUAAUAAUAAGUUUGAGUAGGGUGACUGCUUUAGUCAUUGGCCACUACAUAUUAAUUUGGCCUUUCCUUACAAUCAGAAAGAAACAAGGCAAUUGAAACCUUAUUGUUAAGAGCGGCCAAUUACUAUGUAGUCUCCAAUAACUAUAGCAGUCACCCUAGCUAGACAAAUUCUUAAAAGCUAAAUUAGAACAACUCCUGACAUUCGAUUGGGCUCAAUUUUGGAACACUUAUGGAGGACCGUGACAAGUGAAUGGCAAUGUUAUGAUGGCAACCUAAUUUAAACACAUGCUGCUCUUUUAAAAAAAACUAUCCAUUGUAUGUUUUUUUACGUUUUGUGCACUGUCGUUUACACAUCCUACGAUAAUUUUUGACAUCAUU